GGGCAUAGCUCAGUGGUAGAGUGCUUGCUUAGCAUGCACAAGGUCCUGGGUUCAAUCCCCAGUACCUCCA
rnacentral:tRNA from 1 species